rnacentral:rRNA from 1 species
AACGCGAAGAACCUUACCAGGGUUUGACAUGCGCGCGACUCCCCCAGCGAUGGGGGUCCCUUCGGGGCGCGCGCACAGGUGCUGCAUGGCUGUCGUCAGCUCGUGCCGUGAGGUGUUGGGUUAAGUCCCGCAACGAGCGCAACCCUUACUCGUAGUUGCUACCCGCAAGGGAGAACUCUACGAGGACUGCUCCGGAUAACGGAGAGGAAGGUGGGGAUGACGUCAAGUCAGCACGGCCUUUAUGUCCAGGGCUACACACGUGUUACAAUGCAUGGUACAGACUGUUGCGAACCCGCGAGGGGGAGCUAAUCGGACAAAACCAUGCUCAGUUCGGAUUGCAGUCUGCAACUCGGCUGCAUGAAGCUGGAAUCGCUAGUAAUGGCGUAUCAGAUCGACGCCGUGAAUACGUUCCCGGGCCUUGUACACACCGCUCGUC